UAUCAUUCUCAAGGUGACGGGGACGGCGCUGGAGGAGGAGGAGGAGGAAGAGGAGGAGGAGGAGGAGAGAGAGGAAGAGGCGGAAGUGGAGGAGGCCUGGAGGCUGGAAGGCGACUCCACUUCCUGCAAAUUAUCUUCCGUAUCAUCCACCUCAAUGUACCACGUGACUCUACGGGUGGGGGUGGAUGUAGGUGGAGUGGAGGGGGAGGAGGAGGAGGUGGGGGAGGCUAUAGGUCGGGUGGAUGGGGUGUUGAUGGGGGAGGAUGGGGUUCGGGCGACUGUGGAUGGGGUAGGUGGGGUGCUGGUGGGGGUGGUUAGGGGUGGGGUACUGGUAGGGGAGGAUGGGAUGGGAGGCGUGUGGGAGGGAGAGGAAUUAGUGGGGGUCGAAAUCGGGUCAGUGAUUGAGUUCGAGAAAUGAAGCGAAGCAAGAGGAAAGGCCAAUGAGGUGGGGGAGGCUGAGGGUGGGGUGGGCGGGGUGGGGAAGGGCUGGGAAUGGGUAGGGGUGGGCAUGGGAUCAGAGGUGGGAUAUGAGGGAUGCUGGGAGGAUGAAGGGGAGUGAGGUGGAGUGAAAACAUCAGCUGAAACAUCCACUAGCUCCUCACACCUCAUCCCCUCGCCUCCUUCAUCUUCCUCUUCCACGUCCUCGUUUAUCCCCGGCGUCUGGAGGCGGAAGUAGGGCACCCCGGACCCUCCUGAAGGCGGCCACAGUCUCAUAUCUCUAUAGUUAGUACGGCCAUACAAAAGCGUUUUCCUCUCUAGUUAACCUUCUUGCAGUUUAUUUUCUUUUUCUACAACAAAGGAGACAGCUCAAGGGCACACACAAAAAAAGGAAAUAAUAAAAAAAAGCCCGCUACUCGCUGCUCCUAAAAAAAAUAUCAACAGAGGUGGCCGAAAGAGAGGUCAAUUUCGCGAGAGGUUAGAUUUUCAAGGUAGUUUUCUAGGCCAGACAUUUCUCUCCUGGUUCUUCCUCUCUCGACAGUUGCAAAUCACGCCUUGUAUCUUGUUUCCAUCCGCUAUUACGACACAGGAACAUUACACUUCUUUUUUUUUUCAGGAGGCUCAGUGGUGUUUCCAAGAUAGAGCAUUCGAAGUCAGACUCUUUUUCUUUAUCUCUUUCGUUCUCUCUCGAUAGUAUGCAAUCACACACAGUUUCUCGUUGUCUUCGGUUAAUAGGGCAAAACAGGACCCGUUAUUUUUUUUCCGGGUGGCUGAGUGACAUUUCCAAGACGUUUUUUGUUUUCUCUCUCUCUCUCUCUCUCUCUCUCUCUCUCUCUCUCUCUCUCUCUCUCUCUCUCUCUCUCUCUCUCUCUCUCU